AUUGAACGCUGGCGGCAGGCCUAACACAUGCAAGUCGAACGAGUGGCGGACGGGUGAGUAAUGUCUGGGAAACUGCCUGAUGGAGGGGGAUAACUACUGGAAACGGUGGCUAAUACCGCAUACCAUCGGAUGUGCCCAGAUGGGAUUAGCUAGUAGGUGGGGUAAAGGCUCACCAAGGCUACGAUCCCUAGCUGGUCUGAGAGGAUGACCAGCCACACUGGAACUGAGACACGGUCCAGACUCCUACGGGAGGCAGCAGUGGGGAAUAUUGGACAAUGGGCGCAAGCCUGAUGAAGCCAUGCCGCGUGUAUGAAGAAGGCCUUCGGGUUGUAAAGUACUUUUAGCGGGGAAGCGUUACCCGCAGAAGAAGCACCGGCUAACUCCGUGCCAGCAGCCGCGGUAAUUC
rnacentral:rRNA from 1 species